GACGAACGCUGGCGGCGUGCCUAAUACAUGCCAGUAGAACGCUGAAGGAGGAGCUUGCUUCUCUGGACGAGUUGCGAACGGGUGAGUAACGCGUAGGUAACCUGCCUGGUAGCGGGGGAUAACUAUUGGAAACGAUAGCUAAUACCGCAUAAGAGUAGAUGUCGCAUGACAUUUGCUUAAAAGGUGCAAUUGCAUCACUACCAGUUGGACCUGCGUUGUAUUAGCUAGUUGGUGAGGUAACGGCGCACCAAGGCAACGAUACAUAGCCGACCUGGGAGGGGGGUCGGCCAACCUGGGACUGGGACACGGCCCAGACCCCUUCAGGAGGCAGCCGGAGGGGAUCUUCGGCAAUUGGCGGAAGUCUGACCGAGCAACGCCGCGGGAGUGAAGAAAGUUUUCGGAUCGGAAAGCUCUGUUGUAAGGGAAGAACGAGUGUGAGAGUGGAAAGUUCGCACCGUGACGGUAUCUUACCAGAAAGGGACGGCUAACUACGUG
rnacentral:rRNA from 1 species